UCGAGGAUCUUUGGCAAUGGACGCAAGUCUGACCAAGCGACGCCGCGUGUGCGAUGAAGGCCUUCGGGUUGUAAAGCACUGUCGAGGGGGAGGAAGCCGCAAGGUUGACCUAUCCCUGGAGGAAGCACGGGCUAAGUUCGUGCCAGCAGCCGCGGUAAGACGAACCGUGCGAACGUUAUUCGGAAUCACUGGGCUUAAAGGGCGCGUAGGCGGGUGAUCAAGUCAAUGGUGAAAUCCUCCAGCUUAACU
rnacentral:rRNA from 1 species